rnacentral:rRNA from 1 species
CACCUCUAGCAUUUCCAGUAUUAGAAGCACUGCCUGCCCAGUGACAUCUGUUUAAACGGCCGCGGUAUCCUAACCGUGCAAAGGUAGCAUAAUCACUUGUUCCCUAAAUAGGGACUUGUAUGAAUGGCCACACGAGGGUUUUACUGUCUCUUACUUCCAAUCAGUGAAAUUGACCUUCCCGUGAAGAGGCGGGAAUGACUAAAUAAGACGAGAAGACCCUAUGGAGCUUUAAUUAACUGAUUCACAAAAAACAACACACAAACCUAACCUUCAGGGACAACAAAACUUUUGAUUGAAUCAGCAAUUUCGGUUGGAGUGACCUCGGAGAACAAAACAACCUCCGAGUGAUUUAAAUCCAAACUAACCAGUCAAAAUAUAUAAUCACUUAUUGAUCCAAACCAUUGAUCAACGGAACAAGUUACCCUAGGGAUAACAGCGCAAUCCUAUUCCAGAGUCCAUAUCGACAAUUAGGGUUUACGACCUCGAUGUUGGAUCAAGACAUCCUAAUGGUGCAACCGCUAUUAAGGGUUCGUUUGUUCAACGAUUAAAGUCUU